UACAGAGGGUGCGAGCGUUAAUCGGAAUUACUGGGCGUAAAGGGUGCGUAGGCGGUGAGAUAAGUGUGGUGUGAAAGCCCUGGGCUUAACCUAGGAAGUGCAUUGCAAACAGUCUGACUGGAGUAGAUGAGAGGGUGGUGGAAUUUCCGGUGUAGCGGUGAAAUGCGUAGAGAUCGGAAGGAACGUCAAUGGCGAAGGCAGCCACCUGGCAUCAUACUGACGCUGAGGCACGAAAGCGUGGGGAGCGAACAGG
rnacentral:rRNA from 1 species